GACGAACGCUGGCGGCGUGCUUAACACAUGCAAGUCGAACGGUGAACGAGGGAGCUUGCUCCCUCCGGAUCAGUGGCGAACGGGUGAGUAACACGUGAGCAAUCUGCCCUGGACUCUGGGAUAAGCGUUGGAAACGACGUCUAAUACCGGAUACGAGGCGUGGGGGCAUCCCCAACGCCUGGAAAGAACUUCGGUCCAGGAUGAGCUCGCGGCCUAUCAGGUAGUUGGUGAGGUAACGGCUCACCAAGCCUACGACGGGUGGCCGGCCUGAGAGGGUGACCGGCCACACUGGGACUGAGACACGGCCCAGACUCCUACGGGAGGCAGCAGUGGGGAAUAUUGCACAAUGGGCGCAAGCCUGAUGCAGCAAUGCCGCGUGAGGGACGACGGCCUUCGGGUUGUAAACCUCUUUUAGCAGGGAAGAAGCGAAAGUGACGGUACCUGCAGAAAAAGCACCGGCUAACUACGUGCCAGCCGCCGCGGUAAAAC
rnacentral:rRNA from 1 species